AUUGAACGCUGGCGGCAGGCCUAACACAUGCAAGUCGAACGAGUGGCGGACGGGUGAGUAAUGUCUGGGAAACUGCCUGAUGGCGGGGGAUAACUACUGGAAACGGUAGCUAAUACCGCAUACCAUCAGAUGUGCCCAUAUGGGAUUAGCUAGUUGGUGGGGUAACGGCUCACCAAGGCGACGAUCCCUAGCUGGUCUGAGAGGAGGACCAGCCACACUGGAACUGAGACACGGCCCAGACUCCUACGGGAGGCAGCAGUGGGGAAUAUUGCACAAUGGGCGCAAGCCUGAGGCAGCCAUGCCGCGUGUAUGAAGAAGGCCUUCGGGUUGUAAAGUACUUUCAGCGGGGAGGCGUUACCCGCAGAAGAAGCACCGGCUAACUCCGUGCCAGCCGCCGCGGUAAUUC
rnacentral:rRNA from 1 species